rnacentral:rRNA from 1 species
UGCGUAGGUGGCAAGCGUUGUCCGGAAUUAUUUGGGGCGUAAAGGGCGCGCAGGCGGCCUGUCAAGUCUGUCUUAAAAGUGCGGGGCUCAACCCCGUGAUGGGACGGAAACUGGCAGGCUGGAGUGUCGGAGAGGAAAGCAGAAUUCCUAGUGUAGCGGUGAAAUGCGUAGAUAUUAGGAGGAAUACCAGUGGCGAAAGCGGCUUUCUGGACGACAACUGACGCUGAGGCGCGAAAGCCAGGGGAGCAAACGGG